rnacentral:rRNA from 1 species
GACGUAGGGCGCGAGCGUUGUCCGGAUUUAUUGGGCGUAAAGAGCUCGUAGGCGGCUUGUUGCGUCGACUGUGAAAACCUGCGGCUCAACCGUGUGGUCUGCAGUCGAUACGGGCAGGCUGGAGUUCGGUAGGGGAGACUGGAAUUCCUGGUGUAGCGGUGAAAUGCGUAGAUAUCCGGAGGAACACCGGUGGCGAAGGCGGCUUCCUGGACCGACACUGACGCUGAGGCGCGAAAGCUAGGGGAGCAAACGGG